rnacentral:misc_RNA from 1 species
CGUAAAGGUGCAUGAGUGGUGUUUGGUUUGUUACGGGUGGUUGGCUCUUUGCUUGCGCAACAACUUCUACCCGGCAUACCUCUUCAGUCUUGUGUCAAUGCUUGUAUUGCAUUGAAUGCACGACGGGUUUCUUGUGUUGCAUGCCUAAUUAAUGGUAUCGUUUGACAAAUUGGUUUUCCUUUUUAUCUUGUGUCGCCUAUGCGAUGUGAGAUGAACCUUGAAGCAGCCUUUGUGAUCCACUAUUUUGAUGCAAAGCAUUGAUUUUGUGGCCCAUUGAGUGUUGUUCGGUCUCAUGGAUAUGGAACCUGGUGUGGGCAUGGAAUCUUUAAUGGUUCCUUGUUUGCCCAAGUUUAGCUUUUCUAAAACGAUUGUCU